rnacentral:rRNA from 1 species
UACGUAGGGUGCGAGCGUUAAUCGGAAUUACUGGGCGUAAAGCGUGCGCAGGCGGUUCGUUGUGUCGGCGGUGAAAGCCCCGGGCUUAACCUGGGAAUGGCCGUUGAAACUGGCGAACUGGAGUGUGGCAGAGGGGGGGUGGAAUUCCGCGUGUAGCAGUGAAAUGCGUAGAGAUGCGGAGGAACACCGAUGGCGAAGGCAGCCCCCUGGGCUAACACUGACGCUCAGGCACGAAGCGUGGGGAGCAAACAGG